AAUUCUGCUUUUUUAAAAGCAACAAACAAAUAUUUGAAGAAUAUC
rfam:Lepisosteus oculatus linkage group LG1, whole genome shotgun sequence.